GAGCUUCAGAAGAUGUCUUUGACCAGGGACUCCCUGGACCAGGGUGUUAUGACUGAGCUUCAGAAGAUGUCUUUGACCAGGGACUCCCUGGACCAGCGUGUUAUGAGCUUCAGAAGAUGUCUUUGACCAGGGACUCCCUGGACCAGCGUGGUGUUAUGGUGAAGAGAACAUUUAAUGCACUGAAAGGAUGAAAUAGGAGGAACAAGAAGAUGUGUAAGAGAUUGGUGGAGACAGAUGCAGUUUCACUGCUAAUUCUAUAGAUUGUCAGAGCUCUGUUGGGACAACUUUUUUUUCUUCUGUUAUUGCCAAUGAAUGUAACCCUGUCAUCAACCAAAGGUGCUACCCUGCUCUUAAAAAAUGUAAACUCAAGGUAUAGACUGUCACAGUACAAACGGUUGGUGUUUCAAAUGGACCCAAGUAAAAUAUCCAUAGCUCCCCUGCUGGUCCAAAUACAACACUACAGGCCACUUUGAUGACAGCAGUGUUGACUCUGGAACACUGACCCUCAACUACUCAUGAUAUGCACUUUGUCAAACCUUAUGGGUGAGCUAUUUUCUGUUUCAAAAACAAUUGUGCAGCAAUAUAUAUAUAUAUAUAUCAACUUUAUAAUGCUUUGGAAUAAAAUGCAUAAUGUGG